AAAAACAUGUCUUUUUGAUAAUAAUUUAAAGUCUAAUCUGCCCACUGAUAGAAUAUUAAAGGGCUGCAGUAUAUUGACUGUACAAAGGUAGCAUAAUCAUUAGUCUUUUAAUUGAAGACUUGUAUGAAAGAUUUGAUGAAAUAUAAACUGUCUCUAAUUUAUGUUUAGAAAUUAAUUUUUUAGUUAAAAAGCUAAAAUAAAGUUAAAAGACGAGAAGACCCUAUAGAGUUUUAUAUUUUGAUUAAUUAUUAUUAAAUAUAUAAUUAAAUAUAAUAAUUAAUUAAAAUAUUUUGUUGGGGUGAUAGAAAAAUUUAAUAAACUUUUUUUAAAAUUUGAACAUAAAUAAGUGAAUAAUUGAUCCAUUAAUAAUGAUUAAAAGAAAAAAUUACCUUAGGGAUAACAGCGUAAUAUUUUUUUUUAGUACAAAUAAAAAAAAAAGUUUGCGACCUCGAUGUUGGAUUAAGAUAAAAUUUAAAUGCAAAAGUUUAAAAUUUUGAUCUGUUCGAUCAUUAAAAUCUUACAUGAUCU
rnacentral:rRNA from 1 species